UAAUCGUCUUGCGUCCUCCCCCGGCCU
rnacentral:piRNA from 1 species